AUGCUCCCAGCUCCGCCAGCGCCCGCUCCUCCGUCGAGAGGGCAGGAACAUGGUGGCGGCGACCGGUGGAGAGGGGGCGUCCGGGUCAAUGAGACGUUGUGGUACGAGGUGAAUCGGCGGCAAGCCCGGCGCCAGCGCUACGCGCCGCCUCUCCGACUCCUCACUCCGUCCUCGUCCACAAUGGCCGCUGCCGCCCUCACCUGCGCUCGUGCCCUCUUCAUCUCCGGCCGUGAGCUCCAUCCCGUCCAACCUCAUCUUCCCGGAUCUUCUUGGUUUUGGUCCGGGAGCAUACGGGUGCGGAUCAAAGCGUUGAUGGACAGGUUCGUGAAGGAGUUGCAGAAGGCGCUGGACGCGGACAUCCAGGAUCGCAUCAUGAAGGAGCGGGAGAUGCCAGCUACAUCAGGAACGCAAACGCGAGGUCGCCGAGAGGGAGGCCGUUUGGAAGGCCGAGCUCUCCCGCCGCGAGGUAGUAAUCGAAACCCGUCCAUGUCUUACUGUCGUCUCCUUUUCUGUCAAACCGAUUCAUCUGCGUGUUUAUACCCUGGUGUUGAUUCAUUUGAUGGUGUCGAUGGCAUGAUGCCUUCAGUAAGGGAUCAGGUGCUGAAUUCUGGUGCAUUCCAAACUAUAUAUUAA
rnacentral:rRNA from 1 species